CUGGGGAUGAAAUGGAUGCUCAAGAGGUCUUAAGCCUGCAGGGACGGCGCUGGGCGACGUUUCCGAAGGGUGUUUUAUUUUUUCCUAAUCCUAGAAAUAACGAAAACCCGCCACGUGGCUGAGCCUCUGUUGGCCACUAACCCGGGCGCUCUGGGAGGGGUUUCUCGGUCUGAAAGUUUCCAUUUAAUUGGGCCUCCUCCUCUUCAAAAAGAAACCGUCCUUUGCUGAUCGCUUCUUGGUACCGACGCCACGUGCGGAAUCUAAAUGAGCCUCUGGGAGAAGGAAAUUUAGAAGCCAUUUUCUUCAUGAAGCAGUUAAGGCGAUAACCGGGGAAAAGGAAGGAAGCUGCGCCCUCAGCCCGAACGCCAGGAGCCCCGAACACUGCCCAGUCAUUUCUAAAAGGCGCCUCUGGCCGUCGCUGGCCCGGGGAGCCAAGGACGGGGUGGGGUUUCCGAAGGGAGCCCGAGCCACCAGAGCGCAAGAUCCUCACGCGAAGGUGACUGCGGGGCUUCCUUUGCCUUUAGAACUGGGUCCCCCAAGGCCAAGAUUCCCCCGCGCAAGGAGCCCCGGCUGGGCCAGGGGGACCCCUCUCCCCCCCCCCCCCCCGCGCCGGAGGGCUGUUGGCGCGCCCCGGGUUCGCAGGGUGCGGCCGCCGACGUUUGCGCUUUUAAAUAAAAGCAAAGGAAGUUUGGGGCUUCGGCAGGUGGCAACCGCGCCCCGCGCUGCUUCGCCCGAACCUCGGUGCCGGCCGCCCUCUAGUGGAAGACGUGGGAAGGGAGCAGAGAGCGCCCAGGAGGGACCGAGGACGUCUGGGCGAGACUUGGAGCCGGCACUGAGGGAGAGGACCAGAAGCGGGGCGGGGGGUGAGCCGCUCCCUCGCUGGGCCCCGGCAGCGCACGCGCGCCGCCCCCCAUCGCCUCCUGGCUCUUCUCCGCGUGUUUGUAGCAGGAGUCCUCGCCUCUGAAAACGUGCCAGGGAGAAUCCCGAGGUUCUCCGUGUGCCGCUGAGAUCAGAAAGGAAAACUUCUAGUGUCUUAAAGGGAAACUCUCCCCCCUGGAAAUGUCGCGCUCCCUUUGAAAGAAUCCAUUUUUUUGGUCACCAAACUGUGUUUCCUCUACAGCCUGUCAUUUUAUACCUUUUGAUAUAACCGACUGACUUGUACUAUGUCGUUAAUAUGUAUCGUGUCGCUACAACGGGGAUGUCAUUUCUAAUUCCGACUGAAAUCAUUUUCCUGGUACUACUAACAAUAGCAAAGUGAAUUCCGUCUGUUCCGCUCCAUCUGUUCUUCCUUGCCAGGAGAAGGGGCCACGAAACAUUUGUCCUGAAUAAAUACUCGUCAGUCACAUCGUGGUGAUUUACGAAGGUUGGGGGAUUCCUAAUAAAUUACGAUCAGUCUCACCUAGAAUCACAUUUCUCUUUCAGUGUGAUUUUAGAUAAGCUCACACCAAAAAUAAAUGAAGGUGAGCGUGGGACCGGCGGAGCUCCAUCAUCCGUGUGCUUCUGCUGUGCAGAAAUAGUAGGAACAUUGAUAACCGAAAUGUUUACUAUUUAAUGAAAUUUGUUGUUAUUCGUUGUUUUAAAAUGAUUUGUUUUUCUUUUAAUAAAGAUUUAAAUAAGAA
ensembl:lncRNA